rnacentral:rRNA from 1 species
AGGUGCGAUCAUACCAGCAUUAAUGCACCAGAUCCCAUCGAAACUCCGCAGUUAAGCGCACAUGGGCUAUAGUAUUACUAGGAUGGGUGAACUCCCGAGAAGUCCAGUGUUGCACCCU